CCCCUGUGAACAUACCACUUGUUGCCUCGGCGGAUCAGCCCGCUCCCGGUAAAACGGGACGGCCCGCCAGAGGACCCCUAAAACUCUGUUUCUAUAUGUAACUUCUGAGUAAAACCAUAAAUAAAUCAAAACUUUCAACAACGGAUCUCUUGGUUCUGGCAUCGAUGAAGAACGCAGCAAAAUGCGAUAAGUAAUGUGAAUUGCAGAAUUCAGUGAAUCAUCGAAUCUUUGAACGCACAUUGCGCCCGCCAGUAUUCUGGCGGGCAUGCCUGUUCGAGCGUCAUUUCAACCCUCAAGCACAGCUUGGUGUUGGGACUCGCGUUAAUUCGCGUUCCUCAAAUUGAUUGGCGGUCACGUCGAGCUUCCAUAGCGUAGUAGUAAAACCCUCGUUACUGGUAAUCGUCGCGGCCACGCCGUUAAACCCCAACUUCUGAAUGUUGACCUCGGAUCAGGUAGGAAUACCCGCUGAACUUAAGCAUAUCAAUAAGCGGAGGAAAUCAU
rnacentral:rRNA from 1 species